CAUUGCGGCUAUCUGUUUCUUUGCUUUUAUGUGGAUAGUGCGUAUUUAUUUAUGUUCAAUGUUAGGUUAAAUUUUUUUGUGUUAGUGUUUAGUAAGUAAAUUUUGUGGUGAUAUAUGUUAUGACAGGGAUUAGAUACCCCAUUAAUGUAUUUUUAAAAUGUUGUCCUGGUUUUGUAACUAAAAUGGUUUGGCAGUGAGCGAUUCUUGUUAGGGGAAGAUGCAUAGUAAAGGAUGGUCCACCUAUUAUUUUGCUCUUGUUAUGUUGGUGUAUAUCUGGUUUGAUAUUAUCGUUUAAUGGUUUGAGUUUGUGUAGUUUUAGUUAAGCCAAGUCUAUGUGCUGCUUAUAGGAGUUUUUGUGUGUUACAUUAAUAAGGGUGUUAUUGUAAUAUGAUAUUAUUUAGGACUUAAUAGUAAUGUUUAAAUAAGUUUGUUGAUGUGAAAUAGGUUUAGCUCAUUUACAACACCGGAA
rnacentral:rRNA from 14 species